UUCAACAUCUACAAGAUCUGGGAGAUUGCGGACGGGCUGUGCCUGGAGGUGGAGGGCAAGAUGGUCAGUAGAACAGAGGGUGCCAUCGAUGACUCGCUCAUCGGUGGAAAUGCUUCGGCUGAAGGUCUGGAGGGCGAAGGUACUGAAAGCACAGUAGUCACCGGUGUUGACAUUGUCAUGAACCACCACUUACAAGAAACCAGCUUCACAAAAGAGGCCUACAAAAAGUACAUCAAAGACUACAUGAAAUCACUCAAAGGCAAACUUGAAGAGCAGAAACCAGAAAGAGUAAAGCCUUUUAUGACUGGAGCUGUGGAACAAAUUAAGGACAUCCUUGCUAAUUUCAAUAACUACCAGUUUUUUAUUGGUGAAAACAUGAAUCCAGAUGGUAUGGUUGCUCUCCUGGACUACCAUGAAGAUGGUGUGACUCCAUUCAUGAUUUUCUUUAAGGAUGUCUUAGAGAUGGAAAAAUGUUAACAAAUUGGAUCUAUCACCUGUCACCAUAAUUGGCUGCUGCUUACCAUCCAUAUAACACCAGGACUUAGGACAAAUGGGACUGAUGUCAUCUUGAGCUUUUAUUUUGACCGUGAUUUAUUUGGAGUGGUGGCA